AGCAGCCGCGGUAAUUCCAGCUCCAAUAGCGUAUAUUAAAGUUGUUGCAGUUAAAAAGCUCGUAGUUGAAUUUCGGGGUUAGUAGGUUGGUCGUGCCUAUGGUAUGUACUGGCUUUACUGAUUCCUCCUUCUUGAAGAACUGUAAUGUCAUUAAUUUGGUGUUGCAGGGAAACAGGACUGUUACUUUGAAAAAAUUAGAGUGUUUAAAGCAGGCUAACGCUUGAAUACAUUAGCAUGGAAUAAUGAAAUAGGACGUUUGAUCCUAUUUUGUUGGUUUCUAGGAUUGACGUAAUGAUUAAUAGGGAUAGUUGGGGGCAUUAGUAUUCAAUUGUCAGAGGUGAAAUUCUUGGAUUUAUUGAAGACUAACUACUGCGAAAGCAUUUGCCAAGGAUGUUUUCAUUAAUCAAGAACGAAAGUUAGGGGAUCGAAGACGAUCAGAUACCGUCGUAGUCUUAACCAUAAACUAUGCCGACUAGGGAUCGGAUGAUGUUAAUUUUUUAAUGACUCAUUCGGCGCCUUA
rnacentral:rRNA from 1 species